AUCAGAUGUGGAGGUGAAAGACAAUGAUAUUAAUGAUCCUGAACCUAGACUUUCAGACAAAAGAUCUUAAGAACAACAUUCUAGAGAAAGUUGUGAAGCAACCCAAGCAAGACUAUGUGUGAGCUACAGGAGAGCGUAUUAACCUGGUAUUGUCUUCAGUCCUGCCCAAGAGGCCACCUGGAGGGAAAGAAGGCUCUGAGGACAGAGGCUGGAGGUUUUCUUGCAGAUGCCCUCAGGCUGAAAUGUGAGGUUUUAAGGACCAGCCGGAAGAGAACUGCAAGGAGAGAUCAUUAGUGAUGGGAGAAGACCCUCCAGAGAUCCCACAGAAGCAUCCAGAAGAGAGAAUCCAGAGAGUAUUGACAGCAAAUCCAAGAAUACCAGUCGAAUAAGGCCUUUCCUGCCAUUUACCUCACAUCUCUUUCCUCUCUCCAUUCCUGGGGAAAGAAAUCCGUAGCCUUGGCUCUCAGCUAGAGGAAGAAGGGUACACACAGAAAGCAGGAAACUAGAGAAGACACCCACCACACUCCCUCUCCCACUGCAAGGCCUUGCCUGCAAAAGGCCCAAGCUGGGAAAGGAUAACUAUAACUUUAAGUGAAAUUUGGAGUUUUGACUACUACAAAAGACUUAACAUUUUACUUACGGAAACAAUACUGUUUUGUGGCUAGAAGCAAAUUAAGGAAUUUUCAUUAACGGCAAGUGCAUAAGGAAAGUCAUGAGCUGUGCCAGAUUUCAUGAAAGGAACAGGGAAGAAUGAGUCCUGGGGAGGAGGUGUGUCUGGGCUGUGGUGGGUGGACUCUCGUGCCCCCUGGGUUAGAGCAUUGUAUAAGCACCAAGGGUUGUAAAUAAUGAGCAGAGCAAAGACACGGACUCAAAUGCUCCCUGUCUUCUCUCUCUCCAAUGGCACAGAACUCUUACUGCCCUCAGCACAAUGAUUAACAGCAAACCAAAUUGGUUAGGAGAUCUGUGAUGACAUCUGCUGAUGGUCCUUCAAGCACAUGAAUGACAGGUAAUAGAGCUAUCUUGCUCACCUUCAGGAAUGCCUCCUUUACACGGAGGCUCUCAUUUGAUAUUUUAAAGAUUGUCUGCCCCAGAGAAAUAAUUCAAACACUAUCCAUUGGCUUUAGAGAAAUAAUUCCUUUUGAAAUGAUUUCACAAAUACCAAGGGCAAGACCUCAUUUAGAUGGAGUAAAAGCUUCCCAAACCCGAAGGGAACAUUCCUCCCAGGGCUGUGAUUUCUGCUGAAGAAAGGGAGGUGUCUGAGAUAAGCAGCGCAGACUGUGCUGGAAGAAACAAACAUGUUUGUUGUUCCCCUGGCGCAUAUAUUUCCUAAUAUAGUCCUGGGCCUUGAGAACUCUGGCUGCCCCUGCGGCUACAGAGAAGCCCAGAGCUAUGUCCUGAGGAACCCCGGGGCCUGUGCCCACUGAGAAUCCCUGACCUGCCAGGAAGACCUCCUGAGAACAAAAGCGAUGAUCCAGAAUGGGCCGGCGCAGGGGCAGCGCAUCGCGGAUUCUACGUGGGUGAGGACCACCGUGGCUCUCAGCACGGCUGAGGUUGAAUUGAUGGGAUGACCAUCUUGCUUUCUACGCCUUUCCUGGGGCCUUUAAAGAGGAAAAGUUUACUUCAUUGAAAUGCAUUCCUUAAAAACUUCUGCACUUUUAUCAACUUUCGGCAGUGGGAUGUGUUCAACGCUCAUGGAGCACCUGGGCACUAGAUACAGCAAGAGAGGAAAAGGAGUGGGCAUUGUCGGUAGAUAAUUUUAAGACAACAUUUUUAAAGAUAAUGCUUUUUAUUCUUGCCUUGUACCAGUAAUUGUAAGCUACAAUGGUGAUAAAAUACCCCUUCCUGAAGCAAAAAUUCUCUGGGUC
rnacentral:lncRNA from 1 species